UUGCCAUCGAAUAAAAGUACGAAGGCGACAAGAUGGAACUACGACGGCAAUAAAUCCAGCUAAAUGUAAGUUCAUUUUCGCGCUAAAAUACAUUUAAAGUGCCAUGCGCGAUAUGCACUGGUCAGUCUAAUACGACAGUUAAGAAAGACGUUCACAAAGCAUGGAGCUCAUAUCAUAUGAUUCUAUGAGAACAAGAAAGGCGACAGCGUUGUUUCU
rnacentral:lncRNA from 1 species